CAACAACUCUCUUCGGAACCGAACGUGAGCGGACGUGUGCGGACGCGUAGCUGCCGGGAAAAUAAGUUGCGUCGGCGUUGCGGCUUUGUUGUUUACGUGUUAUAAUAAAAUUGUGUGCGUGCGAGAAGGGCGCGCUCCUGCCUGUGUUGGUGUUGUUGUCGGUCGUUCUCAGCGUGUGUUUCGAAAUACCGCAUUGUUUAAUACAGCUCUACAGCCGCCGCGGAUAAUUUCAAUGCAAACAAAGGCUGGUGUGUGAAUGAAAUUAUGCUAAAAUAGAUAAUAGUCAAAGCAGAGAGAAGCCAAAAAGCAACAACUAAGCCGGCAUUGGAUGUGAAAAAAGAGAGAAAAACAGGGAAAACAACAAAACGCAACUGCGACGUCAGCAGAGCCAACGAAGAAGAGGAAGAGCCAAGCCUUGGUGGCCACAUUCCAACGUCAUCAGCCGGCGAAGGCCGGUGCAGCCGCCAAACCCGGGUCGCCGAAUUCUUUCUUUCGCCGGAAAACUCACAUCUCCCCAACUGAAAUCGCUGAAAGAACAUCUGCGU
rnacentral:sRNA from 13 species